AGAACUGAUAAUCCGAGGAGUGGAAUGAGAGGGUAACGCCUUGAAACGCUCCCCCUGAUACUCCGACUGGCGAUUUUGAGAAAUUGGAAUGGUCAGAAGCUCGGUGAAGUCGGCUGAGAGAUACCGUAAUCCGUGCAAGCGGAACGAAAGCUGUUCAGAGGUGAACGGUGUAUCCUAUAGGUCGGGGGUCUAUAAA
rnacentral:ncRNA from 1 species